GGGAAUCUACCUUUUGCUACGGAAUAACUCAGGGAAACUUGUGCUAAUACCGUAUGUGCCCUUCGGGGGAAAGAUUUAUCGGCAAAGGAUGAGCCCGCGUUGGAUUAGGUAGUUGGUGGGGUAAUGGCCUACCAAGCCGACGAUCCAUAGCUGGUCUGAGAGGAUGAUCAGCCACAUUGGGACUGAGACACGGCCCAAACUCCUACGGGAGGCAGCAGUGGGGAAUAUUGGACAAUGGGCGCAAGCCUGAUCCAGCCAUGCCGCGUGAGUGAUGAAGGCCCUAGGGUUGUAAAGCUCUUUCACCGGUGAAGAUAAUGACGGUAACCGGAGAAGAAGCCCCGGCUAACUUCGUGCCAGCAGCCGCGGUAAUACGAAGGGGGCUAGCGUUGUUCGGAAUUACUGGGCGUAAAGCGCACGUAGGCGGAUACUUAAGUUAGGGGUGAAAUCCCAGGGCUCAACCCUGGAACUGCCUUUAAUACUGGGUAUCUUGAGUUCGAGAGAGGUGAGUGGAAUUCCGAGU
rnacentral:rRNA from 1 species